UUUGUUUCCAAUAAAAUGGAGCCCUUUCUACCAUACAGACACUUCAUAUUUUUGUAAAAUUGUCUUGAAUAUUUUUUGAAGAAAAUGUUUAAAGUCGAAACACGCUUACUUAAUUCUGAAUUAUUCACUCUUCUGGAAGGAUGCUAAUAGGCCGCUAAUGGCCUCAAGUGGUAGAUAAUUCAGAAUACUUCCAUUUGGCUUUGCUUUUUCCUUUUCUGAGGGGGUAGAGGGCAAGUGAAGCAGCUUUAAAAUUUGAAUCCAUAGUGUACCCAAUUAUGGGAGAACAGAACAACAUCUCAAGCACAUGAAUUAAUUGUCAUUGAGUAGAAGGUGCAUGCGGACCUGGUCUGUCCCCACCUUCUCCCGUUAGUCAUUUGGUAUUAUCCUUGUGUCCUGGCUGCGGUUAUUAGCUCAAUGAGAUUUAAACUCCUGGAGUGCAGGACCCGUCAUUUUGCUGGCGUCCUUUCUUCGCGGCCACUCUGCUUGGAGGCGAGUGGGGAGGGGACCAGAUGUGGGUGGCAGAGGGUAGGCACACUCCGUGUUACCUGCAGCAA
rnacentral:lncRNA from 1 species